rnacentral:rRNA from 1 species
ACAGUGGACGCGAGCAUCUGUGGCCAAGUUUUUAAGGGCGCACGGUGGAUGCCUUGGCACCAGGAACCGAUGAAGGACGUGGGAGGCCACGAUAGGCCCCGGGGAGUCGUCAACCAGGCUUUGAUCCGGGGGUGUCCGAAUGGGGAAACCCGGCAGUCGUCAUGGGCUGUCACCCGCUGCUGAACACAUAGGCAGUGUGGAGGGAACGCGGGGAAGUGAAACAUCUCAGUACCCGCAGGAAGAGAAAACAACCGUGAUUCCGGGAGUAGUGGCGAGCGAAACUGGAUGAGGCCAAACCGUAUACGUGUGAGACCCGGCAGGGGUUGCGUGUGCGGGGUUGUGGGAUCUCUCUUCCACGGUCUGCCGGCCGUGGGGCGAGUCAGAAACCGUUGAUGUAGACGAAGGACAUGCGAAAGGUCCGGCGUAGAGGGUAAGACCCCCGUAGUCGAAACGUCAGCGGCUUGCUUGAGAGACACCCAAGUAGCACGGGGCCCGAGAAAUCCCGUGUGAAUCUGGCGGGACCACCCGCUAAGCCUAAAUAUUCCCUGGUGACCGAUAGCGGAUAGUACCGUGAGGGAAUGGUGAAAAGUACCGCGGGAGCGGAGUGAAAUAGUACCUGAAACCGUGUGCCUACAAGCCGUGGGAGCGUCGGACAUCAGCUUGCUGGUGUCUCGUGACUGCGUGCCUUUUGAAGAAUGAGCCUGCGAGUUUGCGGUGUGUUGCGAGGUUAACCCGGGUGGGGUAGCCGUAGCGAAAGCGAGUCCGAACAGGGCGAUUCAGUAGCACGCUCAAGACCCGAAGCGGAGUGAUCUAGCCAUGGGCAGGUUGAAGCGGAGGUAAGACUUCGUGGAGGACCGAACCCACCAGGGUUGAAAACCUGGGGGAUGACCUGUGGUUAGGGGUGAAAGGCCAAUCAAACUCCGUGAUAGCUGGUUCUCCCCGAAAUGCAUUUAGGUGCAGCGUCGUGUGUUUCUUGCCGGAGGUAGAGCACUGGAUAGGCGAUGGGCCCUACCGGGUUACUGACCUUAGCCAAACUCCGAAUGCCGGUAAGUGAGAGCGCGGCAGUGAGACUGUGGGGGAUAAGCUCCAUGGUCGAGAGGGAAACAGCCCAGAGCAUCGACUAAGGCCCCUAAGCGUACGCUAAGUGGGAAAGGAUGUGGAGUCGCACAGACAACCAGGAGGUUGGCUUAGAAGCAGCCACCCUUGAAAGAGUGCGUAAUAGCUCACUGGUCUAGUGAUUCCGCGCCGACAAUGUAGCGGGGCUCAAGCGUACCGCCGAAGUCGUGUCAUUGCAGCAAUACGGCCAACGCCGGCUGUGAUGGGUAGGGGAGCGUCGUGUGCCGGGUGAAGCAGCCGCGUAAGCGAGUUGUGGACGGUUCACGAGUGAGAAUGCAGGCAUGAGUAGCGAUACAAACGUGAGAAACGUUUGCGCCGAUUGACUAAGGGUUCCUGGGUCAAGCUGAUCUGCCCAGGGUAAGUCGGGACCUAAGGCGAGGCCGACAGGCGUAGUCGAUGGAUAACCGGUUGAUAUUCCGGUACCCGCUGUGAAGCGUCAAACAUCGAAUCCAGUGAUGCUAAGGCCGUGAAGCCGCCCCUGAUCUCUUCGGAGUGAGGGGGAGUGGUGGAGCCGCUGAACCAAGUUGGUAGUAGGUGAGUGAUGGGGUGACGCAGGAAGGUAGUCCAUCCCGGGCGGUGGUUGUCCCGGGGUAAGGGUGUAGGACGUCAGGUAGGUAAAUCCGCCUGGCAAUAGUCUGAGACCUGAUGCCGAGCCGAUUGUGGUGAAGUGGAUGAUCCUAUGCUGUCGAGAAAAGCCUCUAGCGAGUUUCAUGGCGGCCCGUACCCUAAACCGACUCAGGUGGUCAGGUAGAGAAUACCGAGGCGUUCGGGUGAACUAUGGUUAAGGAACUCGGCAAAAUGCCCCCGUAACUUCGGGAGAAGGGGGGCCAUUCCUGGUGAUCGGAUUUACUCCGUGAGCUGGGGGUGGCCGCAGAGACCAGCGAGAAGCGACUGUUUACUAAAAACACAGGUCCGUGCGAAGCCGUAAGGCGAUGUAUACGGACUGACGCCUGCCCGGUGCUGGAACGUUAAGGGGACCGGUUAGCUCCAUUUCGGUGGGGCGAAGCUGAGAACUUAAGCGCCAGUAAACGGCGGUGGUAACUAUAACCAUCCUAAGGUAGCGAAAUUCCUUGUCGGGUAAGUUCCGACCUGCACGAAUGGCGUAACGACUUCUCGACUGUCUCAACCAUAGGCCCGGUGAAAUUGCACUACGAGUAAAGAUGCUCGUUUCGCGCAGCAGGACGGAAAGACCCCGGGACCUUUACUACAGUUUGAUAUUGGUGUUCGGUUCGGCUUGUGUAGGAUAGCUGGGAGACUUUGAAGCUCGCACGCCAGUGUGGGUGGAGUCGUCGUUGAAAUACCAGUCUGGUCGUGCUGGAUGUCUAACCUGGGUCCGUGAUCCGGAUCAGGGACAGUGUCUGAUGGGUAGUUUAACUGGGGCGGUUGCCUCCUAAAGGGUAACGGAGGCGCCCAAAGGUUCCCUCAGCCUGGUUGGCAAUCAGGUGUUGAGUGUAAGUGCACAAGGGAGCUUGACUGUGAGACCGACGGGUCGAGCAGGGACGAAAGUCGGGACUAGUGAUCCGGCGGUGGCUUGUGGAAGCGCCGUCGCUCAACGGAUAAAAGGUACCCCGGGGAUAACAGGCUGAUCUUCCCCAAGAGUCCAUAUCGACGGGAUGGUUUGGCACCUCGAUGUCGGCUCGUCGCAUCCUGGGGCUGGAGUCGGUCCCAAGGGUUGGGCUGUUCGCCCAUUAAAGCGGUACGCGAGCUGGGUUUAGAACGUCGUGAGACAGUUCGGUCCCUAUCCGCUGUGCGCGUAGGAGUCUUGAGAAGGGCUGUCCCUAGUACGAGAGGACCGGGACGGACGAACCUCUGGUGUGCCAGUUGUUCUGCCAAGGGCAUGGCUGGUUGGCUACGUUCGGGAGGGAUAACCGCUGAAAGCAUCUAAGCGGGAAGCCUGCUUCGAGAUGAGGACUCCCACCUCCUAGAGAGGGUAAGGCUCCCAGUAGACGACUGGGUUGAUAGGCCAGAUAUGGAAGCCGGGUAACCGGUGGAGUUGACUGGUACUAAUAGGCCGAGGGCUUGUCCUCAGUUG